CAUUGCUAUCGGAGUCCGAUUUAGCCAUGCUAGUUGUGCGGGUUUAGACCCGCAGCGGAAAGCUCAGUAACACGUGGCCAAACUACCCUGUGGAUGGGAACAAUCUCGGGAAACUGAGGCUAAUUCCCAAUAACGCUCCACCCCUGGAACGGGCGGAGCUGGAAACGCUACGGCGCCACAGGAUGUGGCUGCGGUCGAUUAGGUAGACGGUGGGGUAACGGCCCACCGUGCCAAUAAUCGGUACGGGUUGUGAGAGCAAGAGCCCGGAGACGGAAUCUGAGACAAGAUUCCGGGCCCUACGGGGCGCAGCAGGCGCGAAACCUUUACACUGUACGCAAGUGCGAUAAGGGGACUCCGAGUGUGAAGGCAUAGAGCCUUCACUUUUGUACACCGUAAGGUGGUGUACGAAUAAGGGCUGGGCAAGACCGGUGCCAGCCGCCGCGGUAAUACCGGCAGCCCGAGUGAUGGCCGAUAUUAUUGGGCCUAAAGCGUCCGUAGCUGGCCGGACAAGUCCGUUGGGAAAUCUGUUCGCUUAACGAGCAGGCGUCCAGCGGAAACUGUUCGGCUUGGGACCGGAAGACCUGAGGGGUACGUCCGGGGUAGGAGUGAAAUCCUGUAAUCCUGGACGGACCACCGGUGGCGAAAGCGCCUCAGGAGGACGGAUCCGACAGUGAGGGACGAAAGCUAGGGUCUCGAACCGGAUUAGAUACCCGGGUAGUCCUAGCUGUAAACGAUGCCCGCUAGGUGUGGCGCAGGCUACGAGCCUGCGCUGUGCCGUAGGGAAGCCGAGAAGCGGGCCGCCUGGGAAGUACGUCUGCAAGGAUGAAACUUAAAGGAAUUGGCCGGGGGAGCACUACAACCGGGAGGAGCC
rnacentral:rRNA from 1 species